rnacentral:piRNA from 1 species
UCCUGGCUCUUGGGCUACUACUUACUUGC